GAUGAACGCUGGCGGUAUGCUUAACACAUGCAAGUCGAACGGACUCUUCGGAGUUAGUGGCGGACGGGUGAGUAAAGCGUGAGAAUCUGGCUUUGGGUUCGGGACAACCACUGGAAACGGUGGCUAAUACCGGAUGUGCCGAGAGGUAAAAGAGAAAUUGCCUGAAGAUGAGCUCGCGUCUGAUUAGCUAGUUGGUGAGGUAAAGGCUCACCAAGGCAGCGAUCAGUAGCUGGUCUGAGAGGAUGACCAGCCACACGGGGACUGAGACACGGCCCAGACUCCUACGGGAGGCAGCAGUGGGGAAUUGUCCGCAAUGGGCGAAAGCCUGACGGAGCAAUACCGCGUGAGGGAAGAAGGCUCUUGGGUUGUAAACCUCUUUUCUUAGGGAAGAACAAAAUGACGGUACCUAGGGAAUCAGCAUCGGCUAACUCCGUG
rnacentral:rRNA from 1 species